rnacentral:lncRNA from 1 species
UUUUUGUUCUUUCUUAGGAUUUCCACCUUUCUGCUUAUAUUACUCAUUUCUUCUGGAAUGUUACUUCACCUAUUAGAGCCUUUGGUAUACUAAUCAGUUGUUUUAAAUUCUGACAAUUCCAACAUCCCUGGUAUCUUUGGUACUGAUACUUGCUCUGUGUCUUCAAAUUCAUUUUUUCCCUUGUAGAUAAGCCUCAUUUUUUUCAUGACAGCUGUAAACAGGUUUUUAGUGAUAUGAUGAUGAAGUGUGAGGGAAGGAGAAACAUUUUAUAGUCCUGCAAUUAAAUAUCAAUCUUUUAGUGAGUCUAUGUCUCUGAACUUAUCUGACUCCACAAGUUUCUCAGUUUUAUUCUUGUUCCAGUAGAUGAGGCGACAUGGCAAUAAAGAGCUGUAGUUGGGUAUUUCUCUUCCCCACGUAACUUAGGCUCUGUUUAUAGAAUUUCUUCUGAGGUCAGUCCUUCUGAAGAACAGAGUACUCUAGCUUAUUUCAAAAUGGUUCCCUUUGCUUUCCCUCUGACAGAAGUGUGAAAGUAUUUGUCUCCAGUAUGUAGCUCUGGAGGUAAUUCUCACAAUAUUCUGGGGGUCUAUGACUGAACCCCCUGGAGUUUUUAACUCCCACAUUUGUCCUCACUAAGCUUCCAGCAAUUCAUCAAUUACAGUUAGGUUCUCCUAUCCUGACACUGGUUCCUGCAGUGGUUUCUGCUCAUCUCUGCUCUACUAAGUCAUGACUCCUUAUAUUCACUUUUCCCUCCACACUCGGGAGCAACAAUUUGUCCUGUGUCUUCUCCUCUAUUACAGAUCCAAGAAGCACUGUUAACUUUUCAGUCUGUUCAAGUUUUUACUUAUUUUUAGGAUAGACUGACAUCUUCCAAAACUGAAACCCUCACUACUUCUAAGAUCUAUAAGUGAUUGGUCACAGCAAAACAAUUAUUGAGUUGUACAAAAAACAAAACAUGUAGCUAUGUUGCAUCCUUGCCUCAGUGAUGAACCCAAUGACAUCUUUCAAAAUACACAAUCAAAAAACAGAAAAGACUGAGAGAUGAAAGUGCAGUAAUAAAUAUUACUAGAUGGGAAAUUUGAAUUUAAUGCAAACAUAGUUAUAACUGGCUAACAAUGGGAAUGUUCACAUUAUCAUAAUAUGAGAAUUCUACAUAAGCACCUGUAGAAACUUAUCAAUAUAAAUGAGAAUCGUAAUUGUGCUGAAAAGAAUGAAGACAUCCAAUAGAGAGUGACAUCAGCAAAAAAAAAAUUAUAUUAAAGAGAAUUUCAGAAAUACAUAACAUUGAAAGCAUAAAAGAUGAAAUGUUGGAAGGAAAUCUAAAUUUAGAAAGGGGGGCCAAUUUAGCCAACUAUAGUAUAAGAUACUCCUUUCUAGAAGUUUAACAAGAAAGCACUAUUGAAACAUGACAAUUUUUAAUGAAAUAAAAUACUCAAUUUUAAAUGAUUCUAAUGUUUAUACUUUAUUGCAUGCAAUAAAGUAAACAUUCUUUAAACGUUUUCAUUUAUAAUUGACAAUAAGAAUUUUUAAUAUUUUGACACAAUUUUUCAGGUUACAGAACAAUUAUUAUUUUUCAAUUAAUAAACAUUGAUUUGCAUGGUUUCAGCUAGCAGUCACUUUUACAGUCCCAUAAUAUUCUGCAAAUCAAGACUUACUUGUAUUUCAUGGGUUGGGGGGGACAGUUACUGUAAAUUAAAUUUUGAUUUUCAAAUAUACAUGGCUAGUAUUUAGAAAUACACUAUAUACUUUUGAUUGCUUUUUCCUGCCUUAGGGAACUGCAUAGAACUUCCAGUGCUAAGCGGAAUAGUAGUAGUAAAAUCUGAAAUACUAAAAAAAAAAAAAAAAAAAUAUGAAAUACUUGCUCACUUUCUAUUCCUAGAAAGGUCUUUAAUAAUUAAUAUAAUCAUCCAUGCUUACAAGAUUACAUUUAUCACAUUAAUAAAGUUGCCUUCUUCCAAAUUUGCUAACAAUUUUUAUAAGGAAUAGAUUUAAAUAAUGUCAAAUGCUUUUCUUUUUGCAUCUAUUGAGAUAUGUUUUCCUUUUCAGUUUGCGGGUAUGAUGAUUUGACUUCCAAAUAUUGACUUAGUCUUUCGAUUCUGAACCAGACCAAAUGUUAUCAUGUAUUAACCUGAAUACAAUUUGCUAAUACUUAAUAGAGAAUUUUUAUUUCUAUGUUCUUGAGUAAUAUGAUUCUACAGUCUCUAUUUGUGAUACUUUUCUGUGAUUUUGGUAUCA